rnacentral:rRNA from 1 species
GAUGAACGCUGGCGGCGUGCCUAAUACAUGCAAGUCGAGCGAACAGACGAGGAGCUUGCUCCUCUGACGUUAGCGGCGGACGGGUGAGUAACACGUGUAUAACCUACCUAUAAGACUGGGAUAACUUCGGGAAACCGGAGCUAAUACCGGAUAAUAUAUUGAACCGCAUGGUUCAAUAGUGAAAGACGGUUUUGCUGUCACUUAUAGAUGGAUCCGCGCCGCAUUAGCUAGUUGGUAAGGUAACGGCUUACCAAGGCAACGAUGCGUAGCCGACCUGAGAGGGUGAUCGGCCACACUGGAACUGAGACACGGUCCAGACUCCUACGGGAGGCAGCAGUAGGGAAUCUUCCGCAAUAGGCGAAAGCUUGACGGAGCAACGCCGCGUGAGUGAUGAAGGUCUUCGGAUCGUAAAACUCUGUUAUUAGGGAAGAACAAAUGUGUAAGUAACUAUGCACGUCUUGACGGUACCUAAUCAGAAAGCCACGGCUAACUACGUG